AUCGAUUAUGCUGGAAUUGCAGUUUGGUUUGAUUUAUCAACCACGACCAUGAAUAGCCAUAGGAGUAAUAAUAAUACUCCCCCGUUUUGAUUUAGCUGGCUGCCUUGAAUUUCGUCAUUGGUUUGUGUCUUGAUAGUACUUCUUUGAUUUUAGUAAAAGUUGGAAUAUGGUUUUGUGCUUGUGGACUCCUUUUAAUUAGUUAUAUAAAGCUAACAUGAUUUUGACAAGAGUCUCUUUUAAUUUUUGCGCUCUGACUAAUAUGUAGAAAAAAAAGAAAACAAUAUAGCUAAGUGUUUUAAGCUUUAUUUGUGCUUGUGUUGUCGCAGGGUAAGGACAGACAGUAACUAAGGAAGGACAAAAAGAGUUGAUGCCAAUGGGUUGAAUGACACCACUAGUAUUUCUUUUUCUUGUUUUUUGGUUUGUAACAUAUAAUGUGAUUACAAUAUUUGUUGGGUUUGAGAAAUCAAAAUCAAGGGAUGUUGGUUUUCCUGAUCCCAUUAUUCAGAAUCCCACAAAACUAGGUAAUAUAUCAGAAAAGUUGUUAUUCCAUAUAGCAUUAACAGCAACUGAUACUUCUUAUAGCAAGUGGCAAUGCCGCAUCAUGUACUACCGGUAUAUGAAAAAUAAGAAUUUACCGGGUUCAGAGAUGGGAAAAUUCACCCGGAAUCCUCCAUUUAGGAAUCCCUGACAAUCUUAUGGAUGGAAUUCCCACAUUUGUCGUUGAUCCUCUUCCACAAGGUUUUUAUAUGGGUUAGAUAGUCCUCAAUAGACCUGCAUUCGUUUAGUGGUUGGAGAAGGCUACCAUAGAAGAGGAAUACAUACUUAUGGCAGAGCCUGAUCACAUCUUUUUGAAACCGCUGCCAAAUUUCGCUUAUGGAGAUUACCCGGUUGCUUUCCCUUUUUUCUACAUGAAACCUGCUGAACACGAGGAUAUCAUAAGGAAAUUCGUUCCCAAACAAAAUGGUCCUAUAACAAAUGUUGAUCUCAUUGGAAAUUCACCUGUCAUCAUUAAGAAGGUAUACUUUUACUACCAUGUAUUAAAUUAUUGAAGCAACCCCCUUUAUUCUGCAUGCUCCACAAGUUUAGAGAGUAAGAAUUUCAUGAUAAUAUAAGUAGCAGUAACUCUGACCGAAUACAUGCUCCGCAAGUUUAGUUAUUAACACUAGAAGAGUGAAGUUGAUGUAAGACAAGACCACAAUUGUGGUGCCAAAUUUAGAUAUCUUGGUUUGCUGUUUCAAAAGAAUGGAAUGAUAAAUGGAGAUGUUACUCAAGGUGUUAUCAUAUAUAUGCCUGCUUAAGACUUGGAGUCUUUCACAAUAUUCUUGAUAUCACCUUAUACUUUGGACUCUCGAAAUCAAUGUACAUCAACGUUCCAACUAUGGCUGAGGCUCUAAUUAUUUGCUUGUUUGAUUUAAUUUUCAGGAUACAUAUCUUGACUGUCAUUGAUCAUUAGCUUUAUCAUAUCCCCCUACUCCUUGUACCAUUACUUUUGAAAGUAUUGCCGAUAUCUAGACGGUUCAUUUCUUUACAGAUUUUGAUUUUUUUUGUGUUGCAAUUGUCAUACUCGCUGAUUUUUCAAUAUCUGCUUGUUUCAGGUUGUCAAUCUUCAUAAAUAACUGCAAGGUUAUUUAUAUAUUUUUAAUGUUGUUAAUACUAUCUACAUGUAUCUUUUCAGCUUUAAUUUCAUCAAUUAUUCAGAAUAAUUUUCCGUGUGUGUUUAGAUUGUUAUUAGAUACAGGUCUCUCAACUGUGAUCAAGUUUAUUACAGCUACAUCAAUGCUUCGAUCAGCACUAUGUGCUUAUUCUGCACCUGUAUUUUUCAAGGAAUUAUUUUUGGUUUAUAAUACAGAAUUUGUUGGAGGAAGUUGCAACUACAUGGAUGAAUAUUUCUCUAAGAAUGAAACAUGAUGAAGAAACAGAUAGAACUUUUGGUUGGAUCUUAGAAAUGUGAGAGAUGUACUAAUGAGCUGAAAGAUAUUGUAGGUUGCUUUGCAUGGUGUUCAGCAUAUUCUUUGGAAAGACUUUAUGCUACAGGUUUUGAUCUGUUUCUGUAUAUUUAUUUUCUUAUACUUUUCAUAAGUAAGUAAAUUUUUGGAUUUUUGAAAAUGUUUUAGCCACCUUGGGAUUUGGACAGUAGAAAAAUGUUUAUCCUCUAUUACACUUAUGCGUGUCACUACAACAUGCAGAGUGAGCUUGCUUACGGAAAAAUUGGAGAGUGGCGAUUUGAUAAGAGGUCCUAUAUCAAAGGACCUCCACUUAAAAAUUUAUCCCUGCCUCCACCUAACGUCCCAGAAAGUGUGGUAACUCUCGUGAAGAUGGUAAACGAAGCAACUGCCAACAUUCCAAAUUGGUGAGCAGAGUAGUGAUAUUAUACUAUUUGAAGCCCAACCUACACAAAACAAACGAUUCUUUUUCACUCUCACAAAAAUGUAAUACAUAGAAACAAGUUUUAUAAUAUAUAUGGAAAUGUUUAUCUAGUAAACAUAUUUU